rnacentral:misc_RNA from 1 species
CACGUCUGCUCCUCUCAAAUGCAUUAGCUGGAUCUCCGUGAGCUCGGUUCUACUCGGCGUGGAUAAGCAAUCACUCGCCGAGGACACUGUAAAAAGUGGCCGGGAUUGCAGAUGAACUGCUUCCAAUCGUCUAUUAGCUUAGACAAUCGAACCUUUACGAUCUGAUCUCAAAUCAGGUAGGACUUACCCGCUGAACUUAA